rnacentral:tmRNA from 1 species
GGGGAUGUAAAGGAUUUGACUAAUGUAGUUUUGCAUAAUUGCAAGUAGGCCCGCUGGUACCUUUAAAUCAGCAAAGAUAUAAAUGCCGAAAAAGCAUUUGUGCCAGCAAUGGCAUAUGUUAACGCUUAAUUUUAAGCAAUAACAGACAACAAGAGUUCUUCCUGGAGAAUUCUUGGCUUAGUCUAAUAAAACCAGGAUGAGGUUUUUAAGUCUGGUGAGCUUAAAUUACCAAGGGAAUAAUCUCAAAGAAAGUACCUGCAGAAAGUUUAAAGGUUGAUGAACACCUGCUUUCUUAAGUUAAGUUUCAUCUAGACUUGUAGAUUUUAUGUGUAAAAUGCACUAGGACGGGAGUUCGAUUCUUCCCAUCCCUGCCA